GGUUCUGUAGUGUAGUGGUUAGCACGCCUGCCUCAGAAGCAGAAUGUCCUGGGUUUGAUUCCCAGAAGAACCA